rnacentral:lncRNA from 1 species
AUGUGCUCCUGUCCUGAUCCCUCUACCCCAAGAAAAGCCUCUGUGUUCUUAUCUCUACGAUGGGCUAUGUUUUCAGAAAUCACAGGGACGAUGCUGUUAACACAUGGAGACGCUGUCAGUAUUCAGCUAACAAUGUUUAAUCAUUCCCCUCCUCAAAUUCUACUUUUAACGCCAAGAACUUUUUCCUGCUGUGGGCACUCAUACCCCACCUCUUACCACAAGUCACUGAGGGCUUGGGAGUUGGGUCUGAGCUCCUGCCCCCCAGCUCUCCUGCUGUCCAUGGUGCUGCCUCUGAUGGCAAGUCCCUCCUCUGUCCCACCCCAGGAUGAAAAUGGAUCAACGGUGAACAGGAACGAGACCCACAUGGUGUGGCCCAUCCAGGCCGGCACACUGGAGAGGCUGGGGGAGAGCCUGGUGCCCGCCUUCCUGCACAGCGACAGCACUUACACCCACAGCCUCCUGGGCACAUGCAGAGCUUUUGCCACCACCCAACAGGUGCUGGAGCUGCUGUUUAAAGAACCCUGCUCUCUCUAUGAGAACAAGCCCAUGUUAGCCUGCUAGAGAACAAGAUACCAUGGAGGAGAACCAAGGUGCCCAGUCGAUGGCCAGCCAACCCACAGAAGCAGAGCCCCAACCACACACCCACGAAGAAGGCCAGUGGAGAUCAGAAUGGCCCAGCUGAACCAAGCCUAAACUGCUGAGCAGCUCAAUCAUGAGCUAAGUAAAUUUUGGGGUUAUUUGCUACACAGCAAUAGCUAAUUAACAUGUGCACUCAUUGCAGAGGAGACGCCAGGAUUCAAUACAUGCUCAUUUAGGGUGCUACCAGGCAAACGGUAGCACCCUAAAGAUCCUGAUGUCCUUUUCUCCUUAUUUAAAGCUGGAUCUCUUGAGUUACACAGAAAGACAUGCAGACAUGCGCUUGGUGCGUAAACGCACACAGGACCCCACACCAUAGGAGGAAAUAGAAACCACAGCCUGACCACUAGGGCCCAACGUCAGAUUUCAAAAUAAGGAGUUUGCCUUUAAUUUAUUCCCCCAAAUCUGAACUCUGGAGGCAAGACUGUGGACAGAUCUGAAGACGUGGGGUUCCCCCCGUUAGGGUCUCUCCUUCCUGUCACUCCUGUCUGAUCUCUGGGAAGUGGACGGGCUCAGACCAAGCAGCAGCUUGGAAGCACAGGUCUACCUGUGGAAACAUCCUGUUUGCAGCCCUCUGCUCUUUCUUGGGGUAUCGUCUCUCCGCACCUUGGGCCUGUGGAGAGAUGCUGUAGGGAGGGGGUGUUCUGUCGCCUCUGGCACACAAGGGGGUUCAGGUACCUCACUGCCCUGAGGUCAGAGGAGUCACAGUCCCGAGAGCUGCACUCUGCAUGUGGCAGCCACUCCCACCUGUGGGCCCUGAGCCUGGGAUGGGGUCUGUCUGAACUGAGAUGUGCCAGACAAGCAAGCCACAGAGCAAAUUCUCAAGAUUUAAGUACAAAAAAAUGAAUGUAAAAUAUUUUAUUAGUUUAUAUUGAUCACACAUUAAAAUGAUAAUAUUUUGGAUAUAUUGGUUUAAAUAAAUAAUAUUAUGAUCAGUUUCA